rnacentral:rRNA from 1 species
UUGGAAGUAAAAAGUCGUAACAAGGUCUCCGUUGGUGAACCAGCGGAGGGAUCAUUACCGAGUUUACAACUCCCAAACCCCUGUGAACAUACCAAUUGUUGCCUCGGCGGAUCAGCCCGCUCCCGGUAAAACGGGACGGCCCGCCAGAGGACCCCUAAACUCUGUUUCUAUAUGUAACUUCUGAGUAAAACCAUAAAUAAAUCAAAACUUUCAACAACGGAUCUCUUGGUUCUGGCAUCGAUGAAGAACGCAGCAAAAUGCGAUAAGUAAUGUGAAUUGCAGAAUUCAGUGAAUCAUCGAAUCUUUGAACGCACAUUGCGCCCGCCAGUAUUCUGGCGGGCAUGCCUGUUCGAGCGUCAUUUCAACCCUCAAGCCCAGCUUGGUGUUGGGACUCGCGAGUCAAAUCGCGUUCCCCAAAUUGAUUGGCGGUCACGUCGAGCUUCCAUAGCGUAGUAGUAAAACCCUCGUUACUGGUAAUCGUCGCGGCCACGCCGUUAAACCCCAACUUCUGAAUGUUGACCUCGGAUCAGGUAGGAAUACCCGCUGAACUUAAGCAUAUCAAUAGNCCGGAGGAA